rnacentral:rRNA from 1 species
UACGUAGGGGGCGAGCGUUGUCCGGAGUUACUGGGCGUAAAGCGCACGCAGGCGGUCUGCUAAGUUUGGAGUGACAGUUGGUGGCUUAACUGCCAAAGUGCUUCGAAAACUGACAGACUUGAGGGCUUCAGAGGGACACGGAACUCCGGGAGUAGCGGUGAAAUGCGUAGAGACCCGGAGGAACACCAGUGGCGAAGGCGGCUUCCUGGUCCAGCACCGACGUUCAGGCACGAAAGCGUGGGGAGCAAACAGG